UACGGGGGGGGCAAGCGUUGUUCGGAAUUACUGGGCGUAAAGGGCUCGUAGGCGGCCAACUAAGUCAGACGUGAAAUCCCACGGCUCAACCGUGGAACUGCGCCCGAUACUGCAGUGCUUGAGGGAGACAGAGGUAAGCGGAACUGAUGGUGGAGCGGUGAAAUGCGUUGAUAUCAUCAGGAACACCGGUGGCGAAAGCGGCUUACUGGGUCUCUUCUGACGCUGAGAAACGAAAGCUAGGGUAGCGAAGGGG
rnacentral:rRNA from 1 species